rnacentral:rRNA from 1 species
GCUCAUUAAAUCAGUUAUCGUUUAUUUGAUAGUACCUUACUACUUGGAUAACCGUGGUAAUUCUAGAGCUAAUACAUGCUAAAAACCCCAACUUCGGGAGGGGUGUAUUUAUUAGAUAAAAAACCAAUGCCCUUCGGGGCUCCUUGGUGAUUCAUAAUAACUUCUCAGAUCGCAUGGCUUUACGCCGGCGACGGUUCAUUCAAAUUUCUGCCCUAUCAACUUUCGAUGGUAAGGUAGUGGCUUACCAUGGUUUCAACGGGUAACGGGGAAUUAGGGUUCGAUUCCGGAGAGGGGGCCGGAGGAACGGCCACCACAUCCAAGGAAGGCAGCAGGCGCGCAAAUUACACAAUUCCGAUACGGAGAUGUAGUGACAAUAAAUACUGAUACAGGGCUCUUUUGGGUCUUGUAAUUGGAAUGAGUACAAUUUAAACCUCUUAACGAGGAACAAUUGGAGGGCAAGUCUGGUGCCAGCAGCCGCGGUAAUUCCAGCUCCAAUAGCGUAUAUUAAAGUUGUUGCAGUUAAAAAGCUCGUAGUUGAACCUUUGGCCUGGCUGGCAGGUCCGCCUCACCGCGUGCACUUGUCCGGCCGGGCCUUUUCUUCUGGAGAACCGCAUGCCCUUCACUGGGUGUGUUGGGGACCAGGACUUUUACUUUGAAAAAAUUAGAGUGUUCAAAGCAGGCCUUUGCUCGAAUACGUUAGCAUGGAAUAAUAGAAUAGGACGUGCGGUCCUAUUUUGUUGGUUUCUAGGACCGCCGUAAUGAUUAAUAGGGACAGUCGGGGGCAUCAGUAUUCAAUUGUCAGAGGUGAAAUUCUUGGAUUUAUUGAAGACUAACUACUGCGAAAGCAUUUGCCAAGGAUGUUUUCAUUAAUCAGUGAACGAAAGUUAGGGGAUCGAAGACGAUCAGAUACCGUCGUAGUCUUAACCAUAAACUAUGCCGACUAGGGAUCGG